rnacentral:rRNA from 1 species
UACGAAGGGGGCUAGCGUUGUUCGGAAUUACUGGGCGUAAAGGGCGCGUAGGCGGUGUGUCAAGUCAGGCGUGAAAGCCCCGGGCUCAACCUGGGAACCGCGCUUGAGACUGGCACGCUCGAGUUCGGGAGAGGAUGGUGGAAUUCCCAGUGUAGAGGUGAAAUGUGUAGAGAUCGGGAGGAACACCGGUGGCGAAGGCGGGUCUCUGGGCAAUUCCUGACGCUGAGGCGCGAAAGCGUGGGGAGCAAACGGG